CUUAGCUCAGUUGGUAGAGCGACGGACUGUUAAUCCGUAUGCCGCAGGUUCAAGUCCUGCAGG
rnacentral:tRNA from 1 species